CUUGUAUAUUAUAAAUUUCUAGGCGAGUGAUUUUGUCCAGUGAGGAUGAGAAUGAUGACAGUUGGUCCGGCAGUCAAAUCAGGCCUACACCUCCAUCCACCCUCAGUGCAUCCACCCUCAGGUCUGUGCAGACACCUGCACCGCCUCCAUCCACCCUCAGGUCUUCAACUCCAUCUGCUAGGCUGACACUUCCACCACCUCUGGGUAACCUUAGAUGGCCCGAUGUUUCAACCCAUCACCACGUCACCAUGUCACCAGAAGCCCCUCGUAGACAAAUCAGGGACAACAUGUUUGUUCGCAUCUUAACACUGCUUGAGGAGAUGAAAGAGACUCAAAAAAUCCAAGGGAGGAUGCUCCAAACGCUUCUACAACAGCGUGGCAACAUCAGCACCACUGUCUCUUCUACCCCAGAGGGUUUCCCCCUAAAGACAGUUAGAGAUGUGGAAUUAAUGGAAGAAAAACUGGCAAACCCAAACUUCAUGGCCGAACUGGUUGCAGCUGUGACUGACAUAGGGGGGGGGCGACUGUUGACGAGGCCACAAAAAGGAUGAUGACCUUCCUCCUAGACCAUGCCCUAUCCAGGCAGUAUAACUUUCUGGGCCGAAAUGGGAAGUGAGAGUUCAAGGCCUUAAAACUGUAUGAAGUAAUAUACGGAGGCUUAAAGAAAAAUGCCAUGACCAGCCAAAUCACCCGUAAAGAUGCAGAGAAGGCAGUCUCCAAGUGGCUCAGGGACCGUGGGGGUAAUAGACAGGCCCGACAGGCAACCCCUCAACAAGGACUUCAGACUUCAGGCCCAUUUGAGGUGGAAAGAAACUAAUUCUGUCUGUGACAGUGAGGGAACACUACAAACGCAUGUUGUAAUAAAUUUUACUUAAAUAAAAACAUAAUUAAUUGUA